AACGUUCAUCUCGCCACAAACCAUGGAGAGACGGAAGUAGGUCCAAACAACCGAAGGAACGCACU
rnacentral:ncRNA from 2 species